rnacentral:rRNA from 1 species
UAAGGAAUAUUGGUCAAUGGACGCAAGUCUGAACCAGCCAUGCCGCGUGAAGGAUGAAGGUCCUCUGGAUUGUAAACUUCUUUUAUCUGGGACGAAAACGGGAUUUUUAUCUCAAUUGACGGUACCAGAGGAAUAAGCACCGGCUAACUCCGUGCCAGCAGCCGCGGUAAUACGGAGGGUGCGAGCGUUAUCCGGAUUUACUGGGUUUAAAGGGUGCGCAGGCGGGAUAAAAAGUCAGUGGUGAAAUCCUACAGCUUAACUGUAGAACUGCCUUUUAUACCUUUAUUCUUUAGUUCGGGAGAGAGAGACGAAAUUCCAGGUGUAGUGGUGAAAAACGUAGAUAUCUGGAAUCACACCAGUUGCGAAGGCG